rnacentral:rRNA from 1 species
AGAGUUUGAUCCUGGCUCAGGACGAACGCUGGCGGCACGCUUAACACAUGCAAGUCGAACGAGAGAAGAGGAGCUUGCUUUUCUGAUCUAGUGGCGGACGGGUGAGUAACACGUGAGCAAUCUGCCUUUCAGAGGGGGAUACCGAUUGGAAACGAUCGUUAAUACCGCAUAACAUAAUUGAACCGCAUGAUUUGAUUAUCAAAGAUUUAUCGCUGAAAGAUGAGCUCGCGUCUGAUUAGCUAGUUGGUAAGGUAACGGCUUACCAAGGCGACGAUCAGUAGCCGGACUGAGAGGUUGAUCGGCCACAUUGGGACUGAGACACGGCCCAGACUCCUACGGGAGGCAGCAGUGGGGAAUAUUGCACAAUGGAGGAAACUCUGAUGCAGCGAUGCCGCGUGAGGGAAGAAGGUUUUAGGAUUGUAAACCUCUGUCUUCAGGGACGAAAAAAGACGGUACCUGAGGAGGAAGCUCCGGCUAACUACGUGCCAGCAGCCGCGGUAAUACGUAGGGAGCGAGCGUUGUCCGGAAUUACUGGGUGUAAAGGGAGCGUAGGCGGGAUCGCAAGUCAGAUGUGAAAACUAUGGGCUUAACCCAUAAACUGCAUUUGAAACUGUGGUUCUUGAGUGAAGUAGAGGUAAGCGGAAUUCCUAGUGUAGCGGUGAAAUGCGUAGAUAUUAGGAGGAACAUCAGUGGCGAAGGCGGCUUACUGGGCUUUAACUGACGCUGAGGCUCGAAAGCGUGGGGAGCAAACAGGAUUAGAUACCCUGGUAGUCCACGCCGUAAACGAUGAUUACUAGGUGUGGGGGGACUGACCCCUCCCGUGCCGCAGCAAACGCAAUAAGUAAUCCACCUGGGGAGUACGACCGCAAGGUUGAAACUCAAAGGAAUUGACGGGGGCCCACACAAGCAGUGGAGUAUGUGGAUUAAUUCGAAGCAACGCGAAGAACCUUACCAGGUCUUGACAUCGUAUGCAUAGCUCAGAGAUGAGUGAAAUCUCUUCGGAGACAUAUAGACGGGUGGUGCAUGGUUGUCGUCAGCUCGUGUCGUGAGAUGUUGGGUUAAGUCCCGCAACGAGCGCAACCCUUACUGUUAGUUGCUACGCAAGAGCACUCUAGCAGGACUGCCGUUGACAAAACGGAGGAAGGUGGGGAUGACGUCAAAUCAUCAUGCCCCUUAUGACCUGGGCCUCACACGUACUACAAUGGCUGUCAACAGAGGGAAGCAAAGCCGCGAGGUGGAGCGAACCCCUAAAAGCAGUCUUAGUUCGGAUUGUAGGCUGCAACCCGCCUACAUGAAGUCGGAAUUGCUAGUAAUCGCAGAUCAGCAUGCUGCGGUGAAUACGUUCCCGGGCCUUGUACACACCGCCCGUCACGCCAUGGGAGUCGGUAACACCCGAAGCCUGUAGUCUACCCGCCAGGAGGACGCAGUCGAAGGUGGGAUUGAUGACUGGGGUGAAGUCGUAACAAGGUA